GGGUCAAUGAUGACAACCCUUAAUCUUGAAGUGAGGUGAUGACUUAAAAAUCAUGCUCAAUAGGAUUACGCUGAGGCCC
ensembl:snoRNA SNORD115 Small nucleolar RNA SNORD115